rnacentral:rRNA from 1 species
CUUGACAUCCAGAGAAUUUAGCAGAGAUGCUUUAGUGCCUUCGGGAACUCUGAGACAGGUGCUGCAUGGCUGUCGUCAGCUCGUGUUGUGAAAUGUUGGGUUAACGUCCGCAACGAGCGCAACCCUUAUCCUUUGUUGCCAGCACGUAAUGGUGGGAACUCAAAGGAGACUGCCGGUGAUAAACCGGAGGAAGGUGGGGAUGACGUCAAGUCAUCAUGGCCCUUACGAGUAGGGCUACACACGUGCUACAAUGGCGCAUACAAAGAGAAGCGACCUCGCGAGAGCAAGCGGACCUCAUAAAGUGCGUCGUAGUCCGGAUUGGAGUCUGCAACUCGACUCCAUGAAGUCGGAAUCGCUAGUAAUCGUAAAUCAGAAUGUUACGGUGAAUACGUUCCCGGGCCUUGUACACACCGCCCGUCACACCAUGGGAGUGGGUUGCAAAAGAAGUAGAUAGCUUAACCUUCGGGAGGGCGUUUACCACUUUGUGAUUCAUGACUGGGGUGAAGUCGUAACAAGGUAAGCGUAGACGU